rnacentral:snRNA from 1 species
GUGUUUACUUUGGCAGCACAUAUGCUGAAAUUGGAACCACACAGAGAAGUUACCAUGGCUUCUCUGCAAGGAUGACAUGCACGUUUGUGAAGCAUUCUAUAUUUUU